GGGCGCAUGGUCUAGUGGUAUGAUUUUCCCUUAGCACCUUUCAACCGAAAGAUUUCGAUUGAGGAGCAUGGGAGAGGUCCGGGGUUCAAUUCCCCGUGUGUCCA